AGAGUUUGAUCCUGGCUCAGAUUGAACGCUGGCGGUAUGCUUAACACAUGCAAGUCGAACGGAAACGAUGGUAGCUUGCUACCAGGCGUCGAGUGGCGGACGGGUGAGUAACGCGUAGGAAUCUGCCUGAUAGUGGGGGAUAGCCCAGAGAAAUCUGGAUUAAUACCGCAUAAUCUCUAUGGAGUAAAGGAGCCCUCUUCUUGAAAGGUUUCGCUAUCAGAUGAGCCUGCGUAAGAUUAGCUUGUUGGUGAGGUAAAAGCUCACCAAGGCGACGAUCUUUAGCUGGCCUGAGAGAAUGAUCAGCCACACUGGAACUGAGACACGGUCCAGACUCCUACGGGAGGCAGCAGUGGGGAAUAUUGGACAAUGGGCGCAAGCCUGAUCCAGCAAUACCGCGUGUGUGAAGAAGGCCUGAGGGUUGUAAAGCACUUUCAAUUGUGAAGAAAAGCUAAUGGUUAAUACCCAUUAGCCUUGACGUUGACUUUAGAAGAAGCACCGGCUAACUCCGUGCCAGCAGCCGCGGUAAUACGGAGGGUGCAAGCGUUAAUCGGAAUUACUGGGCGUAAAGCGUGCGUAGGUGGUUUGUUAAGUUAGAUGUGAAAGCCCUGGGCUCAACCUAGGAACUGCA
rnacentral:rRNA from 1 species